UACGUAGGGGGGCAAGCGUUGUCCGGAAUCAUUGGGCGUAAAGCGCGUGUAGGCGGUUCAGUAAGUCUGCUGUGAAAGUCCAGGGCUCAACCCUGGGAUGCCGGUGGAUACUGCUGGGCUAGAGUACGGAAGAGGCGAGUGGAAUUCCCGGUGUAGCGGUGAAAUGCGCAGAUAUCGGGAGGAACACCAAUUGCGAAGGCAGCUCGCUGGGACGUCACUGACGCUGAGACGC
rnacentral:rRNA from 1 species